GGCUUAGAGUUUGAUCAUGGCUCAGGAUGAACGCUAGCUACAGGCUUAACACAUGCAAGUCGAGGGGCAGCAUGAUUGAAGCUUGCUUCAAUUGAUGGCGACCGGCGCACGGGUGAGUAACACGUAUCCAACCUGCCGAUGACUCUGGGAUAGCCUUUCGAAAGAAAGAUUAAUACCGGAUGGCAUAAUUCUUCCGCAUGGUAGAAUUAUUAAAGAAUUUCGGUCGUCGAUGGGGAUGCGUUCCAUUAGGUUGUUGGCGGGGUAACGGCCCACCAAGCCAUCGAUGGAUAGGGGUUCUGAGAGGAAGGUCCCCCACAUUGGAACUGAGACACGGUCCAAACUCCUACGGGAGGCAGCAGUGAGGAAUAUUGGUCAAUGGACGAGAGUCUGAACCAGCCAAGUAGCGUGAAGGAUGACUGCCCUAUGGGUUGUAAACUUCUUUUAUAUAAGAAUAAAGUGCAGUAUGUAUACUGUUUUGUAUGUAUUAUAUGAAUAAGGAUCGGCUAACUCCGUGCCAGCAGCCGCGGUAAUACGGAGGAUCCGAGCGUUAUCCGGAUUUAUUGGGUUUAAAGGGAGCGUAGGUGGACUGGUAAGUCAGUUGUGAAAGUUUGCGGCUCAACCGUAAAAUUGCAGUUGAUACUGUCAGUCUUGAGUACAGUAGAGGUGGGCGGAAUUCGUGGUGUAGCGGUGAAAUGCUUAGAUAUCACGAAGAACUCCGAUUGCGAAGGCAGCUCACUGGACUGCAACUGACACUGAUGCUCGAAAGUGUGGGUAUCAAACAGGAUUAGAUACCCUGGUAGUCCACACAGUAAACGAUGAAUACUCGCUGUUUGCGAUAUACAGUAAGCGGCCAAGCGAAAGCAUUAAGUAU
rnacentral:rRNA from 1 species